AUGUCUUACUCAUCUUUGUAUCCCCAGUGUCUAGCAGUUCCUAAUACAUAGUUUUAGCUGAAUUUUGGGACAUGGCCACUGCUUCACCAAGGUCUGAUACUAGUAAUAAUCACACUGGAAGGUUGCAGUUACGGGUAACUGUUUCUAGCGCCAAACUUAAAAGAAGAAAGAACUGGUUCGAAACAGCAAUAUAUACAUAAAUAGUUGUAGAUGGAGAAAUUAGGAAAACAGCAAAAUCCAGUAGUUCUUCUAAUCCAAACUGGGAUGAACAGCUAACUGUAAAUGUUACACCACAGACUACGUUGGAAUUUCGAGUUUGGAGUCAUCAUGCUUUAAAAGCAGAUGCUUUAUUAGGAAGUGCAACGAUAGAUUUGAAACACAACAGAAAAUUGGAAAGAGUCAAAGAAUAAUUGAAACUUUCCUUGGAAAACAAGAAUGGCACAGCACAAACUGGUGAAUUGACAGUUGUGCUUGAUGGACUGGUGAUUGAGCAAGAAAAUAUAACAAACUGUAGCUCAUCUCCAACCAUAGAAAUACAGCAAAAUGGUGAUGCCUUACAUGAAAAUGGAGAGCCUUCAGCAAGGACAACUGCCAGGUUGGCUGUUGAAGGCACGAAUGGAAUAGAUAAUCAUGUACCUACAAGCACUCUAGUGCAAAACUCAUGUUGCUCGUAUGUAGUUAAUGGAGACAACAUACCUUCAUCUCCAUCUCAGGUUGCUGCCAGACCCAAAAAUACACCAGCUCCAAAACCACUCACAUCUGAGCCUGCCAAUGACACUGUUAAUAGAGAAUCAUCCUCAUUUGCACCAACUGAUGAUGCUUCUGUCAUGGGUAUUCCAGUAGUGUCUGAAGAAAAUGCCUUGUCUCCAAAUUGUACUACUACUACCGUUGAAGAUCCUCCAGUUCAAGAAAUACUGACUUCCUCAGAAAACAAUGAAUAUAUUCCUUCUACCAGUGCAGAAUUGGGAUCUGAAUCUAGAAGUAUAUUAGACCCUGGAAGUAGUUCUGCUUUUGAAGCAGCCAAAUCAAGGCAGCCAGAUGGGUGUAUAGAUCCUUUAUGACAGGAAUCUGAGAAUGCCAACACAGAAACGUUACCAUCAGGGUGGAAAGAAAAGAUCCUCAUGGUAGAACCUAUUAUGUGGAUCAUAAUACUCAAACUAUCACAUGGGAGAGGCCACAAUCUUUACCUUCAGGCUGGGAAAGAAGAGUUGAUGAUCGUGGAAGAGUUUAUUAUGUGGAUCAUAGCACCAGAACAACAACGUGGCAGCGGGCUACCAUGGAAUCGGUCCAAAAAUUUGAACAGUGGCAAUCUCAGCGGAACCAGUUGUAGGGAGCUAUGCAACAGUUUAACCAAUGAUACCUCUAUUCAGCUUCAAUGUUAGCUGCAGAAAAUGACCCUUAUGGACCUUUGCCACCAGGCUGGGAAAAAAGAGUGGAUUCAACAGACAGGGUUUACUUUGUGACUCAUAACACAAAAACAACCCAGUGGGAAGAUCCAAGAACUCAAGGCUUACAGAAUGAAGAACCUCCGCCAGAAGGCUGGGAAAUUAGACAUACUCAUGAAGGUGUGAGGUACUUUCUUGAUCAUAAUGCAAGAACAACAACAUUCAAAGAUCCUCGCAAUGGGAAGUCACCUGUAACUAAAGGUGGUCCACAAAUUGCUUAUGAACGCAGCUUUAGAUGGAAACUUGCUCACUUCUGUUAUUUAUGCCAGUCUAAUGCACUACCCAGUCAUGUAAAGAUCAAUCUGUCCCAGCAGACGUUGUUUGAAGAUUCCUUCCAGCAGCUUAUAGCAUUAAAACCCUAUGACUUGAGGAGGCGCUUACAUGUAAUAUUUAGAGGAGAAGAAGGACUUGAUUAUGGUGGCCUAGUGAGAGAAUAGUUUUUCUUGCUUUCCCAUGAAGUUUUGAACCCAAUGUAUUGCUCAUUUGAGUAUGCGGGGAAAAACAACUAUUGUCUGCAGAUAAAUCCAGCAUCAGCCAUUAAUCCAGACCAUCUUUCGUACUUCUGUUUCAUUGGUAGUUUUAUUGCCAUGGCACUAUUUCAUGGAAAGUUUAUCGAUACUGGUUUCUCUUUACCAUUCUACAAGCGUAUGUUAAGUAAAAAACUUACUAUUAAGGAUUUGGAAUCCAUUGAUACUGAAUUUUAUAGCUCCCUUAUCUGGAUAAGAGAUAGUAACAUUGAAGAAUGUGGCUUAGAAAUGUACUUUUCUGUUGACAUGGAGAUUUGGGGAACAGUUACUUCACAUGACCUGAAGUUGGGAGUUUCCAAUAUUCUGGUGACUGAGGAGAACAAAGAUGAAUAUAUUGGUUUAAUGACAGAAUGGCGUUUUUCUCAAGGAGUACAAGAACAGACCACACUUUCCUUGAUGGUUUUAAUGAAGUUCUUCCUCAUCAGUGGCUACAGUACUUCGAUGAAAAAGAAUUAGAGGUUACGUUGUGUGGCAUGCAGGAGGCUGACUUGGCAGAUCGGCAGAGAAACAAUGUUUAUCGACAUUACACAAGAAACAGCAAGCAAAUCAUUUGGUUUUGGCAGUCCGUGAAAGAGACAGACAAUGAAGUAAGAAUGCUACUUCAUCACUGGAACCUGCCGUUUAUCUCUAGGAGGAUUUGCUGAGCUCAUAGGAAGUCAUGGGCCUCAAAAAUUUUGCAUUGAAAAAGUUGGCAAAGACACUUGGUUGCCAAGAAGCCAUAUGUGUUUUAAUCGCUUGGAUCUACCACCAUAUAAGAGUUAUAAACAACGAAAGGAAAAACUUCUUCUUUUUGCAAUAGAAGAGACAGGGAUUUGGACAAGAAUGA